CAGGGAACACUGGCCUCACCCGGAGAACAAGGGAGGUAGAUGUAGCCAGAACGGGUUGCGGUAUUGUUCGCCUGCUCAGGAGAUCUCGGGUCUGAAGGAGAACACGGAGAGUGAAACUUCUUCCUUAAAAAAUGAAGUAAAAUCUUUCCUGUGGGGGUUACUUUUCAAUAAAAGGAGCCGCGUCCCAGAUCCCACCAGAGCCUGUUUCCUCCUCCCGCAGCCCUCUCUGACUCUGAAGUGAUGACAGUGAAGUUGCCUGUGUAAAACCUAUUCACUGCGUUUGCACGGCUUGAGGAAGGGAAGCCAGCUGUGUUAAUGCCUAGCCUCCUUGAAUGACAGGUAAACCCCA
rnacentral:lncRNA from 1 species